rnacentral:misc_RNA from 1 species
GGCUGUGGCUAUGAAUGUGGAAUGCGAUAGCUCGGGUAUGGCUGAAGUGGAAGAUUCAGCUAAAGAUGUCGAAUUGGAACUGACUUUAGGUUUUUCGUCUUUAGGAACUGUUGACAGUAAACCGAAGGAAACUAAACGGAAUAAAGAUGUUCAGUUGGUGAACGGCGCCGGCGAAUGUAAAAUAGAGCUUCGACUUCAUUGAUUAGUUUAGUACUAGUAGUUAAUUUUAUGUUGGUUUACUUUUUUGCCCUCUAAAUCAGUACAAAUAUAAAGUUAUAUAGUAGC